UACGGAGGGUGCAAGCGUUAUUCGGAAUUACUGGGCGUAAAGCGCACGCAGGCGGUUUUUUAAGUCUGAUGUGAAAUCCCCGGGCUCAACCUAGGAACUGCAUCUGAUACUGGCAAGCUUGAGUCUGGUAGAGGGGGGCAGAAUUCCAGGUGUAGCGGUGAAAUGCGUAGAGAUCUGGAGGAAUACCGGUGGCGAAGGCGGCCCUCUGGACGAAGACUGACGCUGAGGUGCGAAAGCGUGGGGAGCAAACGGG
rnacentral:rRNA from 1 species